UUUAGCCGCAGGCGGUUAAAUUUUAAAUAUUCUGUGAUUUAUGUGUUAAUUUGUGCAUAUUGAAUACUUAAGAAUAGGGUUUCAUUAUAUCACAAAUGAUUGAGCAGAACCUACUUGAAAUGUUCGAAUGUAAGGAUCUUGUUGAAUAUGACAAUUACCGAUCUAUGUUCAUGAAGACGAUAUGGCUUUGUUUGCGACAUCACCAGAUGAAUUGCAAACCAAAAUUAAUAUUUUGGAAUCAUAUUGUGAAACAAGGGGACUAAGGGUUUACACUGACAAAAUACAAAUUAUUGUUUUUCGGAAAGAGGGGCAGACCGUCUUGAAAUAAAAAUGGAUCUUCGAACUAAAAACUUACGCCAACGAUAAUGAGUCAACUAUUGGAUUCAUGUGUUUCGCCAUUUCGACAGUUAUUAGAUCAGCCAACUCACAAACAAGUAUCAGCAGCAAUCCGAGUGCUUUCGCCAUAACUUCUCUCACGGUUCCUGUAACGUCAAUACUAGUUCUUGUUAAUUUCUGUAUCAAACUGAAGACAAUAACAAUUUUACAAAACUUUUUACUUGUUUGAUAAUGAAGCCCCUUUGUUAUGCCAUUCUAAAAAAUAUUUAUACAUAUUUAUGUUGUUUUAAUAAGUUUGGAUGUUCGUUUAGUAUAUGGUGUGUAUCCGUUAUGUUUAACACAACUUAAUUCAAAUUUAAAAAAAAUAUCUGGUGAAUAACUAUAGAUAAUUUCAACGGUUCGAAAAACAAGUUUUGAUUGUUAUUAAAUUUCCAUUUUGAACACAUUUCUGGUCAGUUAUUCUUGCAUCACAUUUUCACUACCGUUACGCUGUGAUCAUGUGUCGAUACGACAACUGUCUGUCUAUCAACGAUUUUAACUCAGAUGAGGGCGUCACGUGAUGGAGUCGUUAUCAAUUCAAUUGACAGAUUCGUUACAUAAAUAUUCAACAAAAUAUUCUUAUUCUCCCGUAAGGUGCUCACAAUCUUACUUGUAUAAUAACUGAUAUUUUUAAAACGGCAUGUAUUGCGUCGGUCAAUUUUAAUUUUCGAAUAAAUAUUAAUUGUUUAUCCUGAAAUGUAUAUAUCUGUGUAGACGACUCACUAUAUGGAACGUUUGCAGGAAUGGCGCAUUAACAUUUUCAAGCUAUAUUGUGAUUGAUUCUUAAAUGAAAGGAGCUUGCCGUAGAAUGAUGAAGAAUACAAAUGGGAAAAUAAACAUUAUUAUGGAUAUGGAAAGCCUAAAAACAGAUUGGAAGUGCUAGUGCAAAACCGAAAGUAUCAUUGAUAAUGGCGCACAAAGAACUAAGAAAACAAAUAAAAAUAUAUCUACAAUGUGAAGGACUGUGUUUCUACUGGAUAAGAAUUGUCUGCUGUGUUGGGGGCCAUUUUGGAUAACAGGAACAGGAAGUGAAAAUUUGGAAUGGAUCGUAGGAUUUAACAAUGACGUAAAAGUCUUAACGCUGCGUUAAUUAACGUCAGCGUUAAAACUAAUUAACGCAGCGUUAAAACUGUUUCAGCAACAUGAAGUUAACGGCUGAUCAAAUUACGCUGCGUUAGGGUACUUAACGGAGGUAAAGCUUAACGGUAAUGCUAUCUUUACGGUGCUUUGAGCAAUCCGGUCGUGUAAUAAUUAUAUCGUUGAUCCGUGUUUCUCUGGCUAGACCUAUAGAAUCUUUGAUGGCAUUCAUGUAUAAUCUAUCCGCACUGGGUUGUCUAUAAAAAAAGCCAAACAGACUUGACUUAUUGGUUGAGAGAAAGACUUCAAUCCAUAUACAUUCGACGUUAUGUAAUUCAAGAUCAUGUCUGCGUUUAAAAGAAAUAUUUUCAUUGAGCCCUGGAUUCGAAUGAAUAUCACCAGAUUGUAAUAGGACUAUAGAGGACCAAAAGCAUGCUACAAUAAAGAGGAAGCACUUGAAAAGAUUUGUGAGAAAAGAAUAUCAGAAUGUAUGUUUUUCCCUAACAAAACGCGUCUACAUGGGUGUUCUACACUUAGUGAUAUAAUCAUUGAUUUGUAAACAUUAAUUUGUAAGAACAGAGGCUGAUAACAUUUAGUCAUCAGUGACAUGCAUACAAUAAGUGUAUCAGUCGAGGAAAAAUAACUGAUGAUCUAUAUACAAUCAUGACUGCGUUUUCUGGUCUCUUUUUAGGGUACAACAUAAUGAUAUGCUCCAAGGAAUACGAGAUGGGCCAUUAACGCUGACAGGACACGUAUAUAUAUA